AGCAGACGGGAGUUUCUCCUCGGGGUCGGAGCAGGAGGCACGCGGAGUGUGAGGCCACGCAUGAGCGGACGCUAACCCCCUCCCCAGCCGCAAAGAGUCUACAUGUCUAGGGUCUAGACAUGUUCAGCUUUGUGGACCUCCGGCUCCUGCUCCUCUUAGCGGCCACCGCCCUCCUGACGCACGGCCAAGAGGAAGGCCAAGUCGAGGGCCAAGACGAAGACAUCCCACCAAUCACCUGCGUACAGAACGGCCUCAGGUACCAUGACCGAGACGUGUGGAAACCCGAGCCCUGCCGGAUCUGCGUCUGCGACAACGGCAAGGUGUUGUGCGAUGACGUGAUCUGUGACGAGACCAAGAACUGCCCCGGCGCCGAAGUCCCCGAGGGCGAGUGCUGUCCCGUCUGCCCCGACGGCUCAGAGUCACCCACCGACCAAGAAACCACCGGCGUCGAGGUAAUCUCCUGCCCUCGAAUUUUGCCCCUGCGCGGCCCGUGACUCCUCACAGUCCUCCCUUCUCUAACCUGGCCUCUUGUUUCUUCUCCCCCAAUCCCACAGGGACCCAAGGGAGACACUGGCCCCCGAGGCCCAAGGGGACCCGCAGGCCCCCCUGGCCGAGAUGGCAUCCCUGGACAGCCUGGACU
rnacentral:sRNA from 1 species